rnacentral:rRNA from 1 species
ACGAACGCUGGCGGCGUGCUUAACACAUGCCAGUCGAACGGAAAGGCCCUGCUUUUGUGGGGUGCUCGAGUGGCGAACGGGUGAGUAACACGUGAGUAACCUGCCCUUGACUUUGGGAUAACUUCAGGAAACUGGGGCUAAUACCGGAUAGGAGCUCCUGCUGCAUGGUGGGGGUUGGAAAGUUUCGGCGGUUGGGGAUGGACUCGCGGCUUAUCAGCUUGUUGGUGGGGUAGUGGCUUACCAAGGCUUUGACGGGUAGCCGGCCUGAGAGGGUGACCGGCCACAUUGGGACUGAGAUACGGCCCAGACUCCUACGGGAGGCAGCAGUGGGGAAUAUUGCACAAUGGGCGGAAGCCGGAUGCAGCAACGCCGCGUGCGGGAUGACGGCCUUCGGGUUGUAAACCGCUUUCGCCUGUGACGAAGCGUGAGUGACGGUAAUGGGUAAAGAAGCACCGGCUAACUACGUG